CAGAGUCUCCUUCGUGUACAGGGAGGAGACUGUACGUGAGAGAUAGUCAGAUCCGCAUGUUAGAGCAGAGUCUCCUUCGUGUACAGGGAGGAGAUUGUAC
ensembl:miRNA MIR4441 microRNA 4441